GCAAGUCGAACGGUAACAGGUCCUUCGGGGCGCUGACGAGUGGCGGACGGGUGAGUAACACGUAGGUGAUCUACCUAAAAGUUGGGGACAACCUGUGGAAACAUAGGCUAAUACCGAAUACCAUCAUUCAUCGUGUUGAAUGAAGAAAGAUGCUUUACAGCAUCGCUUUUAGAUGAGCCUGCGGCUGAUUAGCUUGUUGGCGGGGUAAUGGCCCACCAAGGCGACGAUCAGUAGCCGGCCUGAGAGGGUGAGC
rnacentral:rRNA from 1 species